AAACAAUUGAAUAUGUCAAUCAAUCCUAAUUUAUAUCAUAUAUUACCAUACGCACCCGGUAUAUCGGCGUAGUACAUUACAUAGUAUAUUAGGAUAUCUACUUGAAUACAUUAUUUCUUACUUCAUAAUAAUAAGUAUUGCAAUUAUUAAGAUAAAACCAGGUAAACAAGAGUGACUUGCAAAAAAUCGAAAAUCUGUAACCUUCAGAUUAUGAGAUUAACUACUAUUAAUAUCAGUUACAGUUAAUAAUUAAUAACUGUAACUUAUUAACGAAACAUGUUACAAAAUGUAGUUAUAAAAUUUAUCUGAUUCUCUAGAAAAUUUACUGGUUAAAAUCACUAGUGUUUAGAACAUUAUUAUAGGCAAAUAUAUCUUAAAAGACAAGACUGUGUUUCGGAGGACAAAUUUAAUAGAGGACCGGAGUAGAGUCUCAUAAUACCCAUAAUAUGGAGGGCAUAAUACAUAAUAUGGAGAACCAUAGUCUCUAAGUUGGCGCAGAAUUCCAGUAAGGUUCUUCUAGACAAGAAGAGAUACAAAAGUCUUACAUACAUAAGUUUCUAACAACUACCUACGAGUUUCUUGGAAAAAACUUGCUAUUAAGUAAAUUAUAUUAUUAUUUACAAUUAUUUGCAUAAAUUAUUUAAACUAACUGUUUUAGGCGUUGCAGUAAUAACUGAAUAUCAUUAAUUAGUUUAUGUAAAUGAAUAAAAGUUUAUAAUAAACAAUUACAAUAACUUGAAAUCGCAUUCAAAAUAAUUUUAGAAUGCUUUUCUUGGGUUUACAUACAAACAGAAAAAGCCACGAGUUUUUAAUCAUAACCUCAUUUUUUAUUAAUUGUGGUACGAUUUUAGGUCACAAAUCAUAUAUGAUACAUAUUGUGCACAAAACCAGUCUUAAUAAAACAAUGUAAUUAUUUUGAAAUUUUCGUUAUUCCCAACAUGGAAGCAGUUAUUCUUUUAGUUGACGAAUAUAUUUAAAUUUUUGUAGCUCAGAUAUUUCUUUUAAUAAAAAAAUUUCUCCCUUUUUUGGCUUUUGUAAUAUUGUUUGUUAUACCUGCUAUGAAAAAAAUUUUUACUUAAUAAAUAUGCAAAAAAUAACAUAAUCAUGUACGCCUAUGUUAUGGAG